GAAGAGANNAGCUUGCUCUUCUUGGAUGAGUUGCGAACGGGUGAGUAACGCGUAGGUAACCUGCCUUGUAGCGGGGGAUAACUAUUGGAAACGAUAGCUAAUACCGCAUAACAAUGGAUGACACAUGUCAUUUAUUUGAAAGGGGCAAUUGCUCCACUACAAGAUGGACCUGCGUUGUAUUAGCUAGUAGGUGAGGUAAUGGCUCACCUAGGCGACGAUACAUAGCCGACCUGAGAGGGUGAUCGGCCACACUGGGACUGAGACACGGCCCAGACUCCUACGGGAGGCAGCAGUAGGGAAUCUUCGGCAAUGGGGGCAACCCUGACCGAGCAACGCCGCGUGAGUGAAGAAGGUUUUCGGAUCGUAAAGCUCUGUUGUAAGUCAAGAACGGGUGUGAGAGUGGAAAGUUCACACUGUGACGGUAGCUUACCAGAAAGGGACGGCUAACUACGUGCCAGCAGCCGCGGUAAUACGUAGGUCCCGAGCGUUGUCCGGAUUUAUUGGGCGUAAAGCGAGCGCAGGCGGUUUGAUAAGUCUGAAGUUAAAGGCUGUGGCUCAACCAUAGUUCGCUUUGGAAACUGUCAAACUUGAGUGCAGAAGGGGAGAGUGGAAUUCCAUGUGUAGCGGUGAAAUGCGUAGAUAUAUGGAGGAACACCGGUGGCGAAAGCGGCUCUCUGGUCUGUAACUGACGCUGAGGCUCGAAAGCGUGGGGAGCGAACAGGAUUAGAUACCCUGGUAGUCCACGCCGUAAACGAUGAGUGCUAGGUGUUGGAUCCUUUCCGGGAUUCAGUGCCGCAGCUAACGCAUUAAGCACUCCGCCUGGGGAGUACGACCGCAAGGUUGAAACUCAAAGGAAUUGACGGGGGCCCGCACAAGCGGUGGAGCAUGUGGUUUAAUUCGAAGCAACGCGAAGAACCUUACCAGGUCUUGACAUCCCGAUGCUAUUUCUAGAGAUAGAAAGUUACUUCGGUACAUCGGUGACAGGUGGUGCAUGGUUGUCGUCAGCUCGUGUCGUGAGAUGUUGGGUUAAGUCCCGCAACGAGCGCAACCCCUAUUGUUAGUUGCCAUCAUUCAGUUGGGCACUCUAGCGAGACUGCCGGUAAUAAACCGGAGGAAGGUGGGGAUGACGUCAAAUCAUCAUGCCCCUUAUGACCUGGGCUACACACGUGCUWMAAUGGUUGGUACAACGAGUUGCGAGUCGGUGACGGCGAGCUAAUCUC
rnacentral:rRNA from 1 species